rnacentral:rRNA from 1 species
UACGUAGGGUGCGAGCGUUAAUCGGAAUUACUGGGCGUAAAGAGCGUGUAGGCGGCCAGACAGGUCCGUUGUGAAAACUCGAGGCUCAACCUCGAGAUGUCGAUGGAAACCGUCUGGCUAGAGUCCGGAAGAGGAGUGUGGAAUUCCUGGUGUAGCGGUGAAAUGCGCAGAUAUCAGGAAGAACACCUAUGGCGAAGGCAGCACUCUGGGACGGUACUGACGCUGAGACGCGAAAGCGUGGGGAGCGAACAGG